UACGUAGGGUGCGAGCGUUGUCCGGAAUUACUGGGCGUAAAGAGCUCGUAGGUGGUUUGUCGCGUCGUCUGUGAAAUUCCGGGGCUUAACUCCGGGCGUGCAGGCGAUACGGGCAAUACUUGAGCGCUGUAGGGGAGACUGGAAUUCCUGGUGUAGCGGUGAAAUGCGCAGAUAUCAGGAGGAACACCAAUGGCGAAGGCAGGUCUCUGGGCAGUAACUGACGCUGAGGAGCGAAAGCAUGGGUAGCGAACAGGAUUAGA
rnacentral:rRNA from 1 species